UCGGGGGUGAAGGAUGCAAAAAAAAAACCAAGAACUAUCCAAUGUCAGAGAAGGAUUGAGGGAGUUUUGACUGUGAACUUUAGUUUCUUGACCACGGCAGUCUAUGGAAGAAGAAGCAGAGAAGGCUCAUCCUGGAGGAACAUAGAGCAUUGCCAUUGAUGUUGGAACCUCCCGGAGAACUUUCCCACCAUGUAAAGCUACACCGUGUUUCCUGUGACUGCCUGGUGCAUGAAGCAGAGCCUGCAUCGAAGUGAUGAGUCCCGAGCAGACUCUCACAGCACAGGACCUCGAGAAGUUUACAGCAUUCAAAGCUCGUAUUUUUCUGCUGCGAGGCCAUCAAGGGUUAAGGGAGAAGCGUCGCUGUUUUACUCAUUAUCGGCAUGUCACAGAAGAAGCUCAGAGUAAAGGGAUAUGCUAGCCGGUACAAGUGACGAUCCAUCAAGUGACAUGUCUCCCAAGAUGGGAAAGACCACAUGAUGCUUUCAGUCUUUUCGCAUGAAGCACUGGAUCCUGGACUUCUUUGGAUCGUCUUAGCAGAGGGUGAUCCUCGGUGAUGACGUCAGCGCCAUUCUCUGCAUCAUUACAUUGCCAGUCGAUGGCUUCAUGGUGGGGCUCCCCUCCCCCCUCAAAGUGGUGCAUAAUGUCCCCCACUCACAAUAUCUUUUCUGGGCCCAAACAUGGCAGCAUACUGUACAUGUGAUAGUAUGGUGCCAUGAGUUGACGUCAAGAAAGGAACAUUUCGGUAAGUAUUAGGAACAACUUUGUUUUAUUCAUGAAUGACAAUUGAAGACAUCUAGUGGAAGACAAUAGGUACUGCAGGGGGGGCAGCCAUAGUGAAGAGGUGAGUAUUAUCACUGGAUUGCUUUUUUUUUCUUGCCCCCUUCCUGGGGACAUUUAAAAAUAUUUCACCCAGAGUUGGGUUUUAAAGUUCCUAAGAAAAAAAAAAAAAGGUUGGAGACACUAUUAGCCAGAUUCAGGUAGAGUUACGCCGGCGUAUCAGUAGAUA